rnacentral:rRNA from 1 species
UACGUAGGGGGCUAGCGUUGUCCGGAUUUAUUGGGCGUAAAGAGCGUGUAGGCGGCCAGGUAGGUCUGCUGUGAAAACUCGAGGCUCAACCUCGAGAUGUCGGCGGAAACCAUCUGGCUAGAGUCCGGAAGAGGAAAGUGGAAUUCCUGGUGUAGCGGUGAAAUGCGCAGAUAUCAGGAGGAACACCGGUGGCGAAGGCGGCAUCCUGGACCAAUACUGACGCUGAGGAGCGAAAGCCAGGGGAGCAAACGGG